AGUGAACGCUGGCGGCAGGCCUAACACAUGCAAGUCGAACGGCAGCACAGCAGUAGCAAUACUGUGGGUGGCGAGUGGCGGACGGGUGAGGAAUACAUGGGAAUCUACCCUGUCGUGGGGGAUAACGUAGGGAAACUUACGCUAAUACCGCAUACGACCGAGAGGUGAAAGCGGCGGACCGCAAGGCGUCGCGCGACUGGAUGAGCCCAUGUCGGAUUAGCCAGUUGGCGGGGUAAAGGCCCACCAAGGCGACGAUCCGUAGCUGGUCUGAGAGGAUGAUCAGCCACACUGGAACUGAGACACGGUCCAGACUCCUACGGGAGGCAGCAGUGGGGAAUAUUGGACAAUGGGCGCAAGCCUGAUCCAGCCAUG
rnacentral:rRNA from 1 species